rnacentral:ncRNA from 1 species
AUAGACAAGGGGAAUCCAACUGUUUAAUUAAAAUAAAGAAUUGUGAUCGUCCUUGCAGAUGCUGACACAAUGUGAUUUAUACCCAAUGCUCUGCAUGUGAAAGUGAAGAAAUUCAACCAAGAAAGGUUAAACAAUGGUAGUAACUAUGACUCUUUUAAGGUAUAAAUAUGCCUAGUCAUCUAAUUAGUGACAUGCAUGAAUGGAUUAACAAGAUUCCCGCUAUCCCUAGCUACUAUCU